rnacentral:rRNA from 1 species
CAGUCGAGCGGAUGAAGGGAGCUUGCUCCCUGAUUCAGCGGCGGACGGGUGAGUAAUGCCUAGGAAUCUGCCUGGUAGUGGGGGACAACGUCUCGAAAGGGACGCUAAUACCGCAUACGUCCUACGGGAGAAAGUGGGGGAUCUUCGGACCUCACGCUAUCAGAUGAGCCUAGGACGGAUUAGCUAGUUGGUGAGGUAAUGGCUCACCAAGGCGACGAUCCGUAACUGGUCUGAGAGGAUGAUCAGUCACACUGGAACUGAGACACGGUCCAGACUCCUACGGGAGGCAGCAGUGGGGAAUAUUGGACAAUGGGCGAAAGCCUGAUCCAGCCAUGCCGCGUGUGUGAAGAAGGUCUUCGGAUUGUAAAGCACUUUAAGUUGGGAGGAAGGGCAUUAACCUAAUACGUUAGUGUUUUGACGUUACCGACAGAAUAAGCACCGGCUAACUCUGUGCCAGCAGCCGCGGUAAUACAGAGGGUGCAAGCGUUAAUCGGAAUUACUGGGCGUAAAGCGCGCGUAGGUGGUUUGUUAAGUUGAAUGUGAAAUCCCCGGGCUCAACCUGGGAACUGCAUCCAAAACUGGCAAGCUAGAGUAGGGCAGAGGGUGGUGGAAUUUCCUGUGUAGCGGUGAAAUGCGUAGAUAUAGGAAGGAACA